AUACUUACUCGAUGCCGGGCCCUUUGGUGAUCAAAAAAGCCGGGGCCCAGUGCCGAGGCCUCCUAUUGCACAGCGGGUCGCUGAUGCACGCUUCUAGCCCAAAACUGGGGUAGGUGGGGCGUAUAAUUUUUGGUUGUGGGAGAUUGGCGUACGCGCCAGCGCCUU